rnacentral:rRNA from 1 species
CCAAGGUUAACCAGCGACAAAAAAACCUAAACCUAUCGCCCGCUCCCUCGCGCCCCUGUUGCUCCCUCCCCGAUCCCGAUCUGGAUCGAGGGGACGAGGAGCUCCUGCCUCCCCGACGGCCGGCCUCCUCCUCGCCCCGCCGCUGCGUCCGGCGCCGCCACGGCCUCUGGAGCCAGGGAAGCCAUGGCCUGAGCUCGGCCUCGAGGUCCCCGUCGCCGUCUCCUGCAGCUUCUGCCCCGCCGCCGUCUCCUUCGCCCUCGCAGCCGCCGCCGAUCCCCUCCCUCAAACGCCGCUGCUGCCCGUCGGCGCCGCCCCGCCACCUCCCGUCGCGGGCAGGCGGGAGGAGCCCUGCCCGGCCUCCUCCUCCCCCUCACCUUCUCUCCCUCUCCCAAGGGAGGGAAGGGAAUGGGAGGGAUCCGGCGGCAAGGGGAGGCAGCGCCCAGAUCCGCAGCCGCACCGGCGGGCCGCCGUCCCUCGAGAUCGUCCAUGGAGGUCCGACCCGGCUACAGCCAUGGACUGAGACGCCCGAAUCCCUAGCUACCCGUGGAGGUCCGACGCCUCAACCUCCAAGGAAAGGACGCGCGCCGGCUGCAGGCCAUCUCCGGCGACCUCCGACCAUGGUUGCUCGGAUCUGGACCAGCUGCUGCUCCUACUGCUUCAGGUGGACGAGGACGAGCCCUCCCUCAUUGCUGCUGCGGCUGCCUACUCCCUCCUCCUACCAUUUGGCCUGGUGUGAGUGGUGGAGUUAAUGAGCCGGGAUGAAGUUCGAGAAGUUGCAUUACGCCGUGUAAAUAUUAAUGAGCUGUGGAAGACAAGUGCACCGAUGCUAUCUUGCGUACGACUGAGCAGUCUCGCAUAUACUUCAACCCAGACAUCAACGCAACAAAUAACUUGAUUAUAAGGAACAAAUGUCAUGUGAAGCAAAUAAUUUCCUUAGAAAAAAGAGGGCCAAGAAAAAGACGCAAAAGCAUAGCUUGCUCCUUGAUUCCAGUUUCUGCAGCCACCAUUGAUAAGCAUGGACUGAGCAAAUGAGUAUCAAAAGGAAGUGAAGGAAGCUUCGUCCUCUGGGUUGCUUGCGAUGUAGUUCUCCAGCAGCUUCAGCGCCAAGUUGUAAACUUAUGCAUUUGGGGCUAUUAAAGGGAGGCAAUUGACGUGCAUUUCAAGAGGAGUUAUUCUGUGGCAACCCACAGAGUCAUGUCUGAUCAUUAAAAGAAUUGGCCACGGAUCCCCACGGACGCCGCCGCCGCUGCGGAUCCCCACGGACGACGCAGACGCCGCCGAACAGAGCAGGGCAUGGUCGCGUUGCACUGAUUGGAGGAGACCGUGCCGGCCGUGCCCUGUUUGGAGGAUGAACACAGGUUCACCGCCAUGGCUAUGAGAGGACGCAUUUGUGGAAUCCCCUGCACGCAUCGGACGGAUCGAUUGUUUGAACGGGCGCAAGGAAAGAGAUCUAGGCCUGCUUGAGGGGGUGAGCUGACAUGGGAGACCCGAGCUGCUGUUCAUCUCCUGCUGCUGCUAUAUUGACCUCUACUUGAAGUCAGGAGCCAAAUUGAAGAUCAAAUUCAGGCUUUCAAAAGUGAGGCUGGGGCGCGGAGGUGAUGCCAAAUUGGCGUGUGAAUGUAAGGAUUGAAAUGAGAUAGUUAUCUUCUUUCAGUUGUUUGCUUCUGCUUAUUGAUAGAGAUAAUUAUUCCCUAUUUAGUAGAUUCUCUCACAUGUUAAUAUUGGGAAUUAUCUAUGGUUCAUUUGGUGUUCAUAUCUCCAUCCUAGCGACCGCUUUGUCCAUGGCAUUUUUAUCGCAUCCACCCAGAUUAGUAUGAAACGAGAAUGCACAUCUAUGUUGUAUUUGCUGCCGUAUGUUGUUUGCAUCAAAAACGUUCUUUGCAUGAUGAACACGGCAGCAAUUCAUUCUUCGAAGAAGUGAAGCGAUGUAAAAAAUGUGCAUCGGCGGCCGCCGAGUGAUCACCCGUCAUUUUUCGUAGUCCUCUUAGUCAUGUACUAGCACAGAUGUUGUGCACGAAAGUAGGAGCAAUCAAGUUGUUUUUUCUCUGACAUGGAGGCAAGCUGGCCUUGUUGUGCUAUGCUCAUCUCAAAUUUUAUGCUACGUCUACUUAUUUUAGCUAAACGUAGGUUUUGGCAGCAAGAAACACUUGCAAAUGUAUGUCUUCUUGAUAUAAGUAUCUGUUCUAGAAGAUAAAUAUAGAUAGCCGUCACAAUAACCGGGGAUAUAAAUAUUUGCACUAGAAGAUAGAUAUUUAUAGUGGUCACAAUAACUGAAUCUGUUGUGUACUACAAUAUUUUUAUUCAGAAGAAGACAUGAUUAUAUGUUUUUAUGUAGUUUUAGUAUCUGAGUCGAACUUUCUUAAUUUGUAAAAAGAUAGUUGUAAUUGAUUGAAGAAGCGUGUUACCUGAGAACCGAGGAUCUGAGAUGUGUGGUAGCUGAGACAUGCAUUGUUCUCGGUUAUUUUAGC